CAGAAAUGGAACUAGUGACAUCCACAGCAUGGAUGAAUCUCAAAAAUAUUACAUUGAGUGAAAGAACUCUGGAGCAUUCAGUGGAAUACUCAAGUCACUAAUACCUUCAACAUAUGUUAGGAGCCAAGACAUACUGUUUCUAGUUGACAAUCCCAAAAAUAAAAAGGUAUGAAAAUAUAACCUAAAGCUACAAAGGUAAACGUUAAGGGAAUAAAAAAUAAAAUAACCCUCAGGGAGGAGAAGAAAAGUGAUGUAAGAAUGGUAUACCUAAGCUACAUCCUCAUGUAUGUUAAAAGGAAGUCAACAUGUCUAAAGAAAAUAAGAAAUAGCCAUUAACCAUACUGUUUUGAGAUGUGGAAGUAACCACCAGAGAGAACAGUCCUGAAAAUUAGAAGUGUUCCUUUGAAAAGUAGAUUGCAGAUAGGAAAGACUAGAGCAGGGGCAAAUUUACAUUAUAAUGCUUUCUGUUAUUUUGUGUCUCCAUUGUUCUGAUACAAAUACAAAGAUUAAAACAAAAGUGAUCCUGGAGAAAUAUAAAUUGAUUAACUGACACAAGAAGGCAUCUGUUGGUUUAGAAGUCUUCCACAGGCAGGAAGUGGGCAGGGUUGUCUGAUGGCUAUGUCACAUUUAUCAACUCGCAGAGGUUCUCACCAGUAUAAUUGCUACUGAUAAAAGAAUUUGAUCAGCAUGGCUAGUCUUACAGUGCAUUCUUUGAAAAAGAAGAAAUACUGCCUAAGACUGUAACACAACAAUUUGCUAAUGAGAAGUUUCACUAAUGAGAGAGGUCUAUGUGAAAUCCAGCUUUCUGGAGCUAGUCAUCCUUUUUUCCUCCUCUCUUUAAGCAAGGAGUAUGACUCAAGCAUUGAGGGUUGUAUCUGGCAGAAGUCCUGUUAAUUUAGGAUAAUUAAAUAUGCCAGUCAUGUGUUUCAGUAAUGUCUGAUUAAAUACUUUAGAGAAGUCAUUAAUGAAUCCAUCUGGUCUAGUGGCUUUGCCAGAUGGCAAAAUGUUACUACCUCUAUCUGUACUGCUCCUGGAGCAUUCUACCUUUCUUGUAGUGUAGCACACAGUCAUUUUCAGGGUAAGUCUUAAUUUGCUAGUUUAUACUAUCAAGGGAUUUGGAAGGUAGAAUGCAAGCCUAAUAUUACACCACACCAACUGAGCCACAAGAUUAAGGCUGCAUUAAAUGGCCUAUCAUUCUACUGUUGAAUUCAAUGUGAUUUCAUCAUUUCCAUUUCCUCAGAAUGUUCUGUCAAACAUCUCAGAUGGUGCCCGGUCCGUGAGUGGAGAGUCAGCACCACAGGGAGAGGUGACCAGCUGUAUUUCACACACACAGGAGCUAACACUCUAAGAGGAGGAGAAUUUCAAUUGUUUCAAAACUGAAAUCCUGGAAGUAUUUUCUCCAUGUGGCUCGUCACUUAAAAACAAAACUGGCCACUUAUUUAAGUAUAGAGUUGCACAGCCUUGUGAAAGGUGCAUUAAAAUGGCAGUCUUCAAGCCGUUUUGAUACCUUAAUCAUGCAGAGUUCAUCUUUAACUUAACAAUUCCCUCACCAGCUUGGUCAAAAUGCAAGGCGUUCUCCAAAGCAUUGACAAUGGCAACUUUAAGAUAAUCACUUCACUAAUUGGUACCUAAGGCAAAGGCUUAAAUAGAAGUGACAACAAACAAAAGGGGCUUGGAGCUGCUAGAGGAGGGUCUAGGGUGGCUUGACGAAGGUAUGAGGCAAAGAUACAGCCGAGAAAAAAGCCCAAUGAUUUAUUACCACUGUCAACCCCUUACCCCUCAAUUGCAUUGACUCCUCUAGCUGACAAAUAGGGCUAAAUUGAGGUCCUAUUCUUUUCUAAGGAAGCCAAGUUUGACUAAUUGACCAGUUUAGUUGGCUUUGAUCAUUUAUGUUCAUGAAACUUGCUUCCAAGGGCACUUCCUGGCCAUACAGAAACUACAGACACCACACUAUGGCAGCUCACACGGAGCUCUGGCUUUUGUUUUGCUCUUGUGGUUAAGAACAACUCCCUUCCCCUUCAGUUUCAUCUUUUUCCUCUCCCUUCUGUUCUCUUUCCAAGUUUUUUCUCUUUCAAUGAGGAUCAUAUGUAAUAUUUCAUCCAGCAAGUUGGUGUUUGGAGGAGUAAGUGGGCAGGAAAGAGGGGACCUGUUUCACCCCAGUCUCCCAAGUUCCCAGAACUGGAAACCCAUCGUUGACUCUUGCCCACUACUCUCAAUUCUGCGCAGUUUGGAUUCAGUCACUGUGGAACUAUCACAGAACUUGGUGUAAGUGACUAAUUAAAACCUUUUUAAGAUUCCAUGUGUAAGAGUGUGUCUCUCUACUGAGUUGAGAACAUGCUGUAGUUUUCAUCUGCCAAAUGGGGUAAAUGGGAACGCUCAGCACAGGGUGUGAGACACAGUGGGCACUCAAAUAGUAGCCAUAAGUAAAGUAACAUGGCCUUUUAUCAGAGCAACUAAAUUAUUAUUAUUAUUGGUAGUAGUAGUAGUAGCAGUAGUAGUAGUAGUAGUAGUAGUAGUAGUAGUAGUAGUAGUAGUAGUAUGAGACAGGGUCUCACUCUGUUGCCCAGGCUGAAGUGCAGUGGCAUGAUGACAGCCUCGACCUUCCCAGGGCUCAGUGAUCCUCCCAUCUCAGCCUCUCGAGUAGCUGGGACCAUAGGCACAUGCCACUAUGUCUGGCUAAUUUUUUUAUUUUUUUGUAGAGAUGGGGUUUGACCAUGUUGACCAGGCUUGUCUCAAACUCCUGGGCUCAAGCGAUCUGCCCGCCUCAGCCUCCCAAAGUGCUGGGCUUAGAGGCGUGAGUCACUGCACCCUGCCUACUAAAAUUAUUACCAAGUUAAAAAAAUUCAAACUCUUAGAAGUACGAGUUCAACAGAAAUGGUUUCAUGGGGAAACGGAUUCAUCCAUAUUCUAUUAUUUCACAAAGAAAGACAAGCACGCCCUCCUCAGAGCUGGCGCAAGCAAUCCCAGACAUCACACUGGAGAGUCAAGCAUGAAUAAACUCCUACUUUGACACGAGUAUCCCUCCAGAGAUGGUUAAUUCAUGUAAGCAUCACUUCAGGCCAAGGCUGACCCAGCCCACUUUUCAUUACUUCAUAUUCUCAGACACGUCAUAGGAAGAAAUUUUCAAUUCCAAUGAGAAACCUUUUUUUUUUUUUUUCUUUUGAGACAGAGUCUCGCUCUGUAGCCCAGGCUGGAAUGCAGUGGUGAGAUCUCGGCUCACUGCAAGCUCCACCUCCCGGAUUCACUCUCCUGCCCCAGCCUCCCGAGGAUCUGGGACUACAGGCGCCCACCACCAUGCCCGGCUGAUUUUUUGUAUUUUUAGUAGAGACGGGGUUUCACUGUAUUAGCCAGGAUGGUCUCAAUCUCCUGACCUCAUGAUCAGCCCGCCUCAGCCUCCCAAAAUGCUGGGAUUACAGAGGUGAGCCACUGCACCCGGCCUCAAUGAGCGACUUUUAAAGAACAGAAUUUAAUGUCCAGGGCUAAGAAAAUUCAAGGAAACAGAUAACAUGAAGGGUAACUUUAUUCUAGCUCCUUGACCCCUAAUGAAAUUGGAGUCUGCCAUUUACCAGCUCCUGUUCCAGAGACGUCACAUGUUAGAUCAAAUUUAAUCCCCAAUAAGAGUCUACCUGGGCUGGAGUUGAGGAUCCUACAUGUCUAUUAUACAGAGUAUCUUCCAGAAGCUAUUUAUUGGAAUAAAACCAAAGUGCUGAAGGAAUUAAGCAGAGACAGAACACAUGAAAGAGAAAGGAUAACAGAUGAUGGAUAUAAGAAAGAAUAAAAAGCAAAAAGAUAGCAAACCUGCCUCAUUUUAUUAAGAAAUCUGGACGCCUAAUCCUAAGCGUGGACACAUGACCAGAUGCCCCUCUCACAGAAAACUCGGUUAUAGUGGCAGCCACCCUUGUAGAUCUUCUCUCACCUGGGUCCAGCCCUGACCAGGAAGGGAGUUAGGUUCAAGUGAGACACAGGAGCCGGCACAACAAAACACAUGAAAUAACAGAAGCCGGUGUUACUUACAGAUGCCAGAGAGAAGAGGGCAGCCCGCCUUGCAGGCCAACAGGAAGCGGGAGCCAUCUGGAACCUAUGUGCUCAACCAACAAACAUACUGCGGCUCACGGAGGUUAAGGAACUUGCCCAGGCCACACAGCUGAAAUAAAUGCCAAGAAUAAAGACAUUUCCUAGCUUCCCUUGGAGUCUGCUGGGUGUGGCCAUUCAACCAUGCUCUGGCCCCUGGGAUGAAAAUGGAAGUCAUGUGUGCAACUUCCAGGAAGUGUUCUUAGCAGUGCCCCUCUUUCUCCUCCUGCUGGCUGGAAUGCAGACAUGAAGGCUGGAGUGGGAGCAGCCACUUCUUGAGGACAGCAAAGGAACAAGAAAAAAGGAGGCCCUGUGCCAGUCAUCAAAUCGAAUUGAUGUACAUGGUACAACCAUUCACCAACAUGAAGAUGAUUACUACAUCCACAAAAGUGUGACUGUGGGUAGGAAAGGGCCCUGGGGCAAUUCAACACAGAGGACAAGCAGAGAAGCAUUCAGCAGAGGAUACUAAGAAGGCAGCACUGGAAAGUGGGGAGAAGCUGGAAAAGCGUGCAGUCACAGGAAUAAGGGGAAGAACAUAUUCUGAGAAGGAAGGAACGAUCAACUGUAUCAACUAACGACAGAGAUGUGAUUACCCCUAGAUUUGUGAACAUGGAGGUCAUAAAUGGCAUAAACAAAAGCUGAUUUUGUGGAAUGGUGGCAAGAGAAGCCCAGCUGGAGGCAACUGAGAAGAGACUAGGAAGUGAGAAGUGGAAAGAACAGACACUAGAUGAUUAUGGAAUUAAGAAACUUAGUCUGAUGUUGGGUGCUAACAAGUCUCCCUAAGAAAUACUGUGGUUUCUCUAUUACAGAAGCCAAAGGGCAAGAGGCGAUCAACCAUCAGUUCAUUUAAGGUCAAUGACCAAAUGCAGUAGAGUUCACAGCUAUAUCAUCCCACAGGAAUGAGGAACCAUGGAACAGAACUGGAAAGCAAGUGGUCCCAAGUGUGCUGGUGUCAACUUUUAGAGUGACCAAAUGUCCAACGGUCCCAGCUUACACCUGUUGUCCCAGUGUAAUUAUUAAGGACUCUCAAAAUGUCCCAGUUUGGAUGAUAAAUUAUAUCCUUAUACUAUUUAUAGUUCACCAUCUCCUUAUCCAACACUGAACAAGCUCUACAUGACUUAGGUUAAGCAAGAUCACUAUUUAAGUUAGAAAACUGCCCAAGACUGGCCCAUGGCAAGAAGCUCAGGACAAAUAUUUGAGUAUACUGAUAGACUAUCAAUUUUACUGAAAAAUAUUAAAGGGCUUCUUCAUAUCAGUCCACAGAAUGCAAAAUUAUCUGCAUUCAGUCAAGUCUAAAAUUCUAAAUUACAAUAAUAUAAUAUAAUAGUGGGAUACUUAGAAAAAGGCCUACAAAGAUCUAUAUAAAAUUUAUAGUGGCUUUCCAGAGUCCGAGAGGAGGAGAAAACUGGGAGGAAUUGGUCAAAGGGUACAAAGUUUAAGUUUCAGUUAUGCAAGAUUAACAAGUCCUACGGAUCUACUGGACAGGAUAGUACCUAGAGUUAACAACACUGUAUCACACACUUAAAAGUUCACAAAGAGAUCUUAUGUGAAAUGUUCUAAUCACCAUCAUAAAGAGGGCAGAAGAAAACUCUUGGACGUCAUGAGUAUGUUUAUGGCAUACAUUGUGGUGAUGGUUUCACAGGCCUCUACUCACCUCCAAACUCAUCAAGUUGUACACUUUAAAUACAUACAGCUUUUUGAAUGUCAAUAACACCUCAAUAAAGUAUAUAAAAUUUUGCUUAUACUGGCUGCCGUAGGAGAGUGAGAGUUGGGGUGGCUGGGGGUGAGGAUAUUUUAAAUGUAUAUGCUUCAGUAGUUUUCAAUGUCUUACAGUGAGCAUGUAUUACUUUUGUACUACAAUUUUUAAAAAUGUACUUAAACAUACCCAUCCAUUCUCAAAAAUAAGAACCCAUCAUAGAUCAGGUGCAUGGUAUUAAAAUCUGCUUCUCUAGGGCUUGUCCCUGUAGCACUCAAAUUGUUGGCUCUGAUGGAUAAAUUGAAGUGAAACCAGAUGUCCUCUGCUGCAUCCCUAUGGCAAUAUUCUAGCCUAGAAUUAUAGUGAAGUCUUCUGACAUCACUACUAAUUCAUCAAAGCUUCCAGACAACCCACCAGGUGCACACUGCAGCCAGACUGGCUCAUAUAAAUCUUUGCCAGUUUAUUUUAAAUGUCCUGUCAGAUUCGGGUAUCUCAACCAGCUUAUCUGUACAUUGUAUUUUGAUUAAUCAAAAUAAGUCAUUUCCCAGCUUCUUGGAUAGUGUGGUUCUUAACUACCCAGCUUUCCACUGAAAGCUGAAACUCAUACAGACAAAAUCUUAUGCAAAGUCAUCAUUAUCCACAUGUGUUGGCACUAUGCAGACAUGAACAUGAGAAGUAUUUCAAUUAGAACCUAUAAAUCAUAGAUUGGGAUUUACAAUGUCUUGUAUAAUUGUUACUUAUAUAGAAGCCAAAAUCCCAUUUAUUUUCUAAAAAAAAAACUUUGAGUAGAAAAUUUAUAUAUAUUUAACUAUUAAACAGAAAAGUUUUAGAACUUUAAGAUGUAAAGCUUCAGAGAUGUUGUAAUCUGUCUUC
rnacentral:lncRNA from 10 species